UGCUUAACAGCUAGCCCCUCUACCAAAAACAACAACUCAAUAUUAAUAACCCCCAAUUUACUAUUAACCUCUAAACAAACCAUUUUUCCCCCCAAGUAUGGGCGACAGAAAAG
rnacentral:rRNA from 1 species